rnacentral:rRNA from 1 species
UUCCGGUUGAUCCUGCCGGACCUGACUGCUAUCGGAUUGAUACUAAGCCAUGCGAGUCAUUGUAGCAAUACAAGGCAGACGGCUCAGUAACGCGUAGUCAACCCACCCUAUGGACGGGAAUAACCUCGGGAAACUGAGUAUAAUGCCCGAUAGAACACUAUACCUGGAAUGGUUUGUGUUUCAAAUGAUUUAUUGCCAUAGGAUGGGACUGCGGCCUAUCAGUUUGUUGGUGAGGUAAUGGCCCACCAAGACUAUUACAGGUACGGGCUCUGAGAGGAGUGGCCCGGAGAUGGGUACUGAGACACGGACCCAGGCCCUAUGGGGCGCAGCAGGCGAGAAAACUUUGCAAUGUGCGAAAGCACGACAAGGUUAAUCCGAGUGGUUUCUGCUAAAGGAACCUUUUGUUAGUCCUAGAAACACUAACGAAUAAGGGGUGGGCAAGUUCUGGUGUCAGCCGCCGCGGUAAAACCAGCACCUCAAGUGGUCAGGAUGAUUAUUGGGCCUAAAGCAUCCGUAGCCUGCUCAGUAAGUUUUCGGUUAAAUCUGUACGCUCAACGUACAGGCUGUCGGGAAUACUGCAGAGCUAGGGAGUGGGAGAGGUAGACGGUACUCGGGAGGAAGUGGUAAAAUGCUUUGAUCUUUCGAUGACCACCUGUGGCGAAGGCGGUCUACCAGAACACGUCCGACGGUGAGGGAUGAAAGCUGGGGGAGCAAACCGGAUUAGAUACCCGGGUAGUCCCAGCUGUAAACUAUGCAAACUCAGUGAUGCAUUGGCUUGUGGCCAAUGCAGUGUUGCAGGGAAGCCGUUAAGUUUGCCGCCUGGGAAGUACGCACGCAAGUAUGAAACUUAAAGGAAUUGGCGGGGGAGCACCACAAGGGGUGAAGCCUGCGGUUCAAUUGGAGUCAACGCCGGG